AUUGAACGCUGGCGGCAUGCCUUACACAUGCAAGUCGAACGGUAACAGGUCUUCGGAUGCUGACGAGUGGCGCACGGGUGCGUAAUACAUCGGAACGUGCCCGAUCGUGGGGGAUAACGAAGCGAAAGCUUUGCUAAUACCGCAUACGAUCUACGGAUGAAAGCAGGGGACCGCAAGGCCUUGCGCGAACGGAGCGGCCGAUGGCAGAUUAGGUAGUUGGUGGGAUAAAAGCUUACCAAGCCGACGAUCUGUAGCUGGUCUGAGAGGACGACCAGCCACACUGGGACUGAGACACGGCCCAGACUCCUACGGGAGGCAGCAGUGGGGAAUUUUGGACAAUGGGCGAAAGCCUGAUCCAGCCAUGCCGCGUGCAGGAUGAAGGCCUUCGGGUUGUAAACUGCUUUUGUACGGAACGAAAAGACUCUGGUUAAUACCUGGGGUCCAUGACGGUACCGGAAGAAUAAGCACCGGCUAACUACGUG
rnacentral:rRNA from 1 species